GACGAACGCUGGCGGCGUGCUUAACACAUGCAAGUCGAACGGAAAGGCCCUGCUUUUGUGGGGUGCUCGAGUGGCGAACGGGUGAGUAACACGUGAGUAACCUGCCCUUGACUUUGGGAUAACUUCAGGAAACUGGGGCUAAUACCGGAUAGGAGCUCCUGCUGCAUGGUGGGGGUUGGAAAGUUUCGGCGGUUGGGGAUGGACUCGCGGCUUAUCAGCUUGUUGGUGGGGUAGUGGCUUACUAAGGCUUUGACGGGUAGCCGGCCUGAGAGGUUGACCGGCCACAUUGGGACUGAGAGACGGCCCAGACUCCUACGGGAGGCAGCAGUGGGGAAUAUUGCACAAUGGGCGGAAGCCUGAUGCAGCAACGCCGCGUGCGGGAUGACGGCCUUCGGGUUGUAAACCGCUUUCGCCUGUGACGAAGCGUGAGUGACGGUAAUGGGUAAAGAAGCACCGGCUAACUACGUG
rnacentral:rRNA from 1 species